UACGUAGGGACCGAGCGUUGUCCGGAAUCAUUGGGCGUAAAGAGCGUGUAGGCGGCCAACUAAGUCCUGCGUGAAAUCUCGGGGCUCAACCCCGAGCGGUCGUGGGAAACUGGUUGGCUAGAGUGCGGGAGAGGAGAGUGGAAUUCCUGGUGUAGCGGUGAAAUGCGCAGAUAUCAGGAAGAACACCCGUGGCGAAGGCAGCUCUCUGGAACGCAACUGACGCUGAGACGCGAAAGCGUGGGGAGCAAACAGG
rnacentral:rRNA from 1 species